AGGCCAACGUGUAGGCCGUAUGAUGGGUUUUCUACGUCUUUCACAAGCGGCCAAAGCGGUGAUUGCUGGUGGUAGCAAUUACGAGAAUCUUGAGGACUGAAGUGGAGAAGGGUUCCAUGUGAACAGCAGUCGAACAUGGGUCAGUCGGUCCCAAGGGCAAGAAGUUCUUUCCGAAGCGGGAUCGCUUUUGCAGUGGAGAGAGCCCGCAGGGAACGAAGAGGAAUUGGAUUAAUAAUCUCGAACCCGGACAUUUGUCGUUCGGGGCCCAGUGCGGUAACGCAAAACAAGCUCGGAGACGCCUAUGCAAGCCCCGGGAAGAGUUUUCUCUGCAAGGAGUCCCUGAAAUGGGUUCGCCCCGAGAUGGGCAUGGUGGCUCCCUAGAGCAGUGCGGCUCUUGCGCUUGCGUCGUCCCUUGAAAAUCCGAGCGAGGAGUGUGAUUUUCGUGCCGGACCGUACCCACACCCGCGGCAGGUCUCCAAGGUAAACAGCCGGUAGUCGAUGCACCAAUGAAGGUAAGGGAAGUCGGCAAGUCCUAACCAAUUGGGAUAAGGUUUGGCUCCGAUGACUGAGCCGGUGGAUGGGUUCGUGUCCAAUGAGGGAAAAUCCGAGUCCCAGCCGAACCCUGAAGCAGCACUUGGGCCCAAUCCGCUCUGGCCGCUUGUAGAUGGCGUAUCAUUGGGAAGGAUAGGCAAAUAUGAGGAGGCACCAUUGGCCGAAAGCGCGCUGGGCGUGUUCCAGGGCGUCUUCUCAAAUUCGAAUGUGGCCAACCAGAAGCCGGAAAUAGUAAUUUGGCGGUGGUUGUGAGAAACAAACUUAAUAAGUGCGUCGGAGUAACUCUUGGUGAUUGAAAAUAUGGUGCACGUGAUGUUUCAAUCACGGUCAUCCAAAAUCAUGGUGGAAGAGUACGACUAGCGGAACGAUCGACAUAAUAUUUUACGCCAGGCGCCGAAAGCCGGGAAUCUGCCGUCCGAGCGGUCACACUCUGUC
rnacentral:ncRNA from 1 species